GAUGAACGCUGGCGGCGUGCUUAACACAUGCAAGUCGAACGGUGAAGCAGGAGCUUGCUCUUGUGGAUCAGUGGCGAACGGGUGAGUAACACGUGAGCAACCUGCCCCUGACACUGGGAUAAGCGCUGGAAACGGCGUCUAAUACUGGAUAUGUGAUGUGACCGCAUGGUCUGCAUCUGGAAAGAAUUUCGGUUGGGGAUGGGCUCGCGGCCUAUCAGCUUGUUGGUGAGGUAAUGGCUCACCAAGGCGUCGACGGGUAGCCGGCCUGAGAGGGUGACCGGCCACACUGGGACUGAGACACGGCCCAGAGUCCUACGGGAGGCAGCAGUGGGGAAUAUUGCACAAUGGGCGGAAGCCUGAUGCAGCAACGCCGCGUGAGGGAUGACGGCCUUCGGGUUGUAAACCUCUUUUAGCAGGGAAGAAGCGAAAGUGACGGUACCUGCAGAAAAAGCACCGGCUAACUACGUGCCAGCAGCCGCGGUAA
rnacentral:rRNA from 1 species